GAGUUUGAUCCUGGCUCAGGAUGAACGCUGGCGGCGUGCCUAAUACAUGCAAGUCGAGCGAACAGAUAAGGAGCUUGCUCCUUUGACGUUAGCGGCGGACGGGUGAGUAACACGUGGGUAACCUACCUAUAAGACUGGAAUAACUCCGGGAAACCGGGGCUAAUGCCGGAUAAUAUUUAGAACCGCAUGGUUCUAAAGUGAAAGAUGGUUUUGCUAUCACUUAUAGAUGGACCCGCGCCGUAUUAGCUAGUUGGUGGGGUAAUGGCUUACCAAGGCAACGAUACGUAGCCGACCUGAGAGGGUGAUCGGCCACACUGGAACUGAGACACGGUCCAGACUCCUACGGGAGGCAGCAGUAGGGAAUCUUCCGCAAUGGGCGAAAGCCUGACGGAGCAACGCCGCGUGAGUGAUGAAGGUCUUCGGAUCGUAAAACUCUGUUAUUAGGGAAGAACAAAUGUGUAAGUAACUGUGCACGUCUUGACGGUACCUAAUCAGAAAGCCA
rnacentral:rRNA from 1 species